CUCACCCUAUCACAGCCUGCGAAAGGACACCCCCACACACACUGAAGAUGAGAGCUAGAGAGCUCCAGUGGGGUCUCCCCCACUGCUGGGAUACAAGGCCUCUGAGGGGCUCAGAUUAGACAGAUCUGUCACUGCCUUGGGGAGAAAUACCUCGAUGUGCCGCCUGGCAGGCGGGCAUGAAUCUGUUUGAGCAUGGAAGGAGGCACUGAGGAAAAUUUGAGUCUCCAAACUAGGCUCAGCACACAGUGAGGCCCAGGGUUCCAUAUGUCCAGUGGCAGGGAGUUCCACAGGACCCAUUCACAGUGCCGUCGUCCUACGGGAGCAUGGCCCGUAUGUGUGGGCAUCUCUCUGGGAUCCCCAGUGGGACGUAUCCCGUGGAGGCUAGGGUGAUGCAUUUGCAACAAUCUGUUUGGCUGUACAGUCAGGCAACUGUGAUGCAGCUGGAAUCUUUUCACAUCGGCUCCCAGCCAAAAUAAGCCAGGCUGCAAUGGCUGGAUCCCUCCAGACAGGUCCAUGUCCCUAGGACGGAGUGACCUCUGCUGGCCAGGGAGUGUUUUGAGACAACAUGGCUAUUUGAGUAAGAUAACGAGAGGGUUGUGGGGUGACAAUGGGGCCCAGUGAAUCAGGAUUCAGGGACCCAUCUCUGCCACCAAAUGAGUGGGUGAUCUCGAGUAAGUCGUUUCCCACCCCUCUGUGCCUUAGUUUCCCCUCUCAAAUUGUCUCUCUAUGGGUUGUUGUUUAGAUUGAGAGUUUUUAAGGGCAAGGACUGUCCCUCUGCACAGUGCCUGGUUCACUGGGGUGCAGAUCUCAGCUGGGGUGCUAGCACAAUGCCAUUGACAAAGGUUCAUUCCUAAUCCUGACUGCCACCCUGCAGGUGCCCCAAAGGGGCUGACAAACCGGCUAAUCCCACAGACAUCAGAGCGAAAAUGGUGGCGCUGUUGGAUGGAAACCCCUAUGGUGCCAAAGCUACACAGGAUCCAUGACAGGAGCAGCUGGCUGCAUCGAAGCAGCUGGGAAUAGGACCCAGGAAUCCUGACCUUCCCCACCCCCAACACCUCCCUUCUCAGGACAUGUGCCAGCCUCUCCCUGACAGUUGGCCUGCCUGGCGCUGCCCCCACUGAGACUGCUGGGAGCGGUGGAUGGAGCCGUUUAACACCUCGCACGCCAACCAGACGGAACCCUUUAUUCCAGCAUCAUGGCGAGCAGCCUUCCUAAUCGGCACGCUGGGCAUCGGACUGCCCGCCAAUGCCUUCAUCAUCUGGCUAACAGGGUGGCGGCUGCAGCGCCGGGGCCUCUCCGUCUUCAUCCUAAGCCUGGCCACCUCUGACUUCCUCUUCCUCUUCCUCACGGUCAUGCAGAUCAUGGAAACCCUGCUGGACGACAACUGGGUGCUGGGCACCCCCAUGUGCCGCCUGCGCCACGUCCUCUACGACUUGAGCUACCACUGCAGCCUCUUCCUGCUGGCCGCCCUCAGCGUGGACCGCUGCCUGCUGGUGCUGCUGCCCCUCUGGUACCGCUGCCACCGCCCACUGUGGCUCUCCAGCUACAUCUGCCUGGGCGCCUGGCUGGUGGCCGCCCUGCUCAGCAUCAAAGGCUUCAUCUUUGCCAACGUUGUCCUGCAUACAGAUGGGGUGCUCGUCUGCUCUAACAACCGGGGCAAAUAUGAAUGGCCCCUGCGCCUGCUGGAGGUGCUGCUAGAGGGACUCUUCCCCUUCAUCGUCAUGGUGACCACCCAUGCCACCACCUUGUCCCGCACCUUCCGGCGCCACACCCGGUCCCCCAGCCAGUUCUACCGCAUCGUGGCCGCCACCCUGUCGGCCUAUGUGCUGCUCAACCUCCCCUUCCAGAUCAUCCAGCUGCUCUUUCUAGUCUCCUGGCAGCACAAGGAGUUCAACUAUCGCAUCUUCCCCUUCAUGGUCUACUUUGGCUACCUGAUCAACCUCAACAGCAGCAUCAACCCUCUCAUCUACAUCUUCUUCGGCUCCAACAUCUGCAUGGGCUGCGGCCGCCACACGACCUCCUCCCUUGCCACAGCCCUAACCGAGGAGCAAGGGAAAAGCCCUGGGGACACGCCCAGCAUGUCCUUCUCAGCCUAGCCCUGCCAGCAAGACCCUGCUCUCCUCUCCCUUCGUGGCCCAGCCCCUGCUCUGGCCCAGCUCCAGUCACCAGUCGAAUGGCCACUGGCUCCCCUGACUGGGCCUGGCCACAAGGAGGCGGGUCUGUGCACGAUUGUAGGUUCACUAGUGCUAAGCCUUGUGUAAAUGGGUGCAAGGUGGAGCUUCGUCAGGCGCAACCAGAUCCAGGAAGCUACCAGGAGAAGUCACACCAGUGCCAAGGCCCAGUUUGCCCCAUUUCCCCAGCCUAGGCAAGCUCCAGCGGGGACAGAUCCUCAGCAGAUGCAAACCAGGCCCAGCUCCAUGCAGGUCAAUGGCCUGGGAACACCAGGCCCUAGGCAAGGCAAUGUAAACACUGACGUGGCUGCAGCUGCCAACCCACAGGUGCCAGGAGACACUGCGAUGAAGGGGACUCUGCCCCUUUGGGCCUAUUUGUGCUUGGCAAUCUUGCCUUUAGGUGUGGCUCCAAGGUCACUGUGUUUUAAUACCGUGGCUGUUCUGCACACUACAGCCAGAUUCCCAGCGCUGAGGAUACAGGUGCCCCCCUAACUCUGUCCCCCUGGAUCCCUGCAGCCUGACUGUUCUGACCUGCUGAAAGCAGGCCCGGUCUCCUCUUAGCACACAUGACUAUGACACAGAAGCUGCAGCCCAAGUGUAUGUUGUGGGGGGGGCUGCAUCAGAACCACACACCCGAAGGGUCAGAAUUAAUGCCAUGGGACUGUCUUGGGGAUCCUCACCUUCCCACACCCACCAGGGGUGGGUACUACUCCCCCCUACCACGCCAUGGGGGCAGGCCAGCCCAAAGAGGGCCACACCCCACAGCUUUAAUUCUGACCCAUUGGGCAUGUGGUUCUUUAAUUCUGACCUUCCACGCACACACACAGAGCUCCCCCCAGUUUCCCCCAGCAGGGUGUCCAGUGUGUGGGCCUGGCUGCCUGCCAGCACUUCCUGAUAGGGACUCAGAGCCAUCUUUGCCCCCACCAGGCGGGUGGGGUAAGAGAGGUGCCUGGAGAUGCGCUGAGCUCAUGUCAACCCAGGGGCUCCCAGGGAGGAGGCAUCACACGCCAGUCGUGAGAAGGACAUCCUGUAUCUGACAGCCCACAGCGGGUCUGCCCCCGUUGGCCCAGGCUCCGCGAUGGGUGCUGUGAGAGUCCUAUGGCUGUACGUCCCGCGCACUCCCCAGCU